AGUGAACGCUGGCGGCGUGCUUAACACAUGCAAGUCGAACGAGAACGGAAUAUAGCUUGCUAUAUUUGUCAGCUAAGUGGCGCACGGGUGAGUAAUGUAUAGAUAACCUGCCCUUAAGAAAGGAAUAACAGUUGGAAACGACUGCUAAUGCCCUAUAUGCCUUUAAUACAUAAGUAUGCAAGGGAAACGCUUUAGUGCUUAAGGAUGGGUCUGUAUGGUAUCAGCUUGUUGGUGAGGUAAUGGCUCACCAAGGCUAUGACGCCUAACUGGUUUGAGAGGAUGAUCAGUCACACUGGAACUGAGACAAGGUCCAGACUCCUACGGGAGGCAGCAGUGGGGAAUAUUGCACAAUGGACGAAAGUCUGAUGCAGCAACGCCGCGUGGAGGAUGACACAUUUCGGUGCGUGAACUCCUUUUAUAUAGGAAGAUAAUGACGGUACUAUAUGAAUAAGCACCGGCUAACUCCGUGCCAGCCGCCGCGGUAA
rnacentral:rRNA from 1 species